GACGAACGCUGGCGGCGUGCUUAACACAUGCAAGUCGAACGGAAAGGCCCUGCUUUUGUGGGGUGCUCGAGUGGCGAACGGGUGAGUAACACGUGAGUAACCUGCCCUUGACUUUGGGAUAACUUCAGGAAACUGGGGCUAAUACCGGAUAGGAGCUCCUGCUGCAUGGUGGGGGUUGGAAAGUUUCGGCGGUUGGGGAUGGACUCGCGGCUUAUCAGCUUGUUGGUGGGGUAGUGGCUUACCAAGGCUUUGACGGGUAGCCGGCCUGAGAGGGUGACCGGCCACAUUGGGACUGAGAUACGGCCCAGACUCCUACGGGAGGCAGCAGUGGGGAAUAUUGCACAAUGGGCGGAAGCCUGAUGCAGCAACGCCGCGUGCGGGAUGACGGCCUUCGGGUUGUGUACCGCUUUCGCCUGUGACGAAGCGUGAGUGACGGUAAUGGGUAAAGAAGCACCGGCUAACUACGUG
rnacentral:rRNA from 1 species